rnacentral:rRNA from 1 species
AAGGAAGCUGCUCUUAGGAAGAUGGCGGUUGCAUUCAACAACCACAAGAAAAGUAUAUGGGCUAAGUACGCCGAAGGAGGAAAGAAGACUCCAGAAUUCAUGGGAACACUGGAGAAGCAAAGAGAUCACUGGCCCGCUUUCGUGAAAUUCAAGGAAUCAGAAUUAUCUAAGGAACGGUCGGGAGUAAACAAGCUCAAUGCCGCGAAAAAGGGGCCAGGUGGCUACGCGGUGGCCUGGCCUAAGUGGGAUAAGUAUGAGAAACAGAUGGUGGAUGCAGGGGUCAUUCCAGUUACAUUGAGCUGGCCCCCCAGGUGCAGGACUUGGUUCUAUGCGCAUGGG